rnacentral:rRNA from 1 species
UACGUAGGGGGCAAGCGUUGUCCGGAUUUAUUGGGCGUAAAGAGCGUGUAGGCGGUUUGGUAGGUCCGUUGUGAAAACUCGAGGCUCAACCUCGAGACGCCGAUGGAAACCAUCAGACUAGAGUCCGGAAGAGGAGAGUGGAAUUCCUGGUGUAGCGGUGAAAUGCGCAGAUAUCAGGAAGAACACCGGUGGCGAAGGCGGGUCUCUGGGCCGAUAUUGACGCUGAGGAGCGAAAGCGUGGGGAGCGAACAGG